UACGUAGGGCGCAAGCGUUGUCCGGAUCUAUUGGGCGUAAAGAGCUCGUAGGCGGCUCGUUGCGUCGGCUGUGAAAACCCGCAGCUCAACUGUGGGCUUGCAGCCGAUACGGGCGGGCUGGAGUUCGGUAGGGGAGACUGGAAUUCCUGGUGUAGCGGUGAAAUGCGCAGAUAUCAGGAGGAACACCGGUGGCGAAGGCGGGUCUCUGGGCCGAUACUGACGCUGAGGAGCGAAAGCGUGGGGAGCGAACAGG
rnacentral:rRNA from 1 species